ensembl:antisense Gm7467 predicted gene 7467
AGGCAGCCCCGAAGCCGCGCCUGGGGAUCCCGGGCACCCGAGGAAAUCCCACUCUUGCAGGCCGGCGUGAGCUCGUUCCACGGCCGCCGAGGGAAGCCGGGAUGCCCCGAGGCCCCCUUCCCUUCGCAGGCCGGGAGGCGGGGCCUAGCGGAGGGUGCGGCCGCCCGCAGCGCCCUGGGCGGCUCGCGGUUCCCCGGGAUGCGGCGCUCCCAACCAGUGGGAGCCGCCGCCUGGAAUGGUGCCUCUGUCCCCGGGAAAGCAGAGAGCUUGGCCUACGCCAAGUUAGACUUCUCCAGCCCAGUGCUCGGUUUCCUCUCCUGGAGGUUCGUGGGAUGCCUGGGACUCGGUUUCCCGGCUCCUAGAGACACGCUAGGCUGGCUGCUCCCCGAGAUGGACCUGGACGACCCAAGUGACCUCGGCUGUAGCCAGGGAAGCAAAAGGUCGGGAUGUGUUUGCUCCUUUUAUGAAAAGGCAGGAGGCACUGCAAAAGAUGAGCAUGGCGCUACGGAUGAACCAGGACCCUAGUUUACACUGGUUUCUUAGCUACUGCACCCGAAUUACUGGGAAAGAAGCUAAUUCAUAGCAAUUUCUUUUAAAAAUCAACUCGUACAGCAAACAGAAGGCAAUAAAUAAACCUAUACUCUUUAGCUCC